UGCGUAGGCGGCUUUCUAAGUCGGAUGUGAAAACUCUGGGCUCAACCCAGAGCCUGCAUCCGAAACUGGAGAGCUAGGGUUCUGGAGGGGAAAGCGGAAUUCCUGGUGUAGCGGUGAAAUGCGUAGAUAUCAGGAGGAACACCGGUGGCGAAGGCGGCUUUCUGGACAGAUACCGACGCUGAGGCACGAAAGCUAGGGAGCAAACA
rnacentral:rRNA from 1 species